GACGAACGCUGGCGGCGUGCUUAACACAUGCAAGUCGAACGGAAAGGCCCUGCUUUUGUGGGGUGCUCGAGUGGCGAACGGGUGAGUAACACGUGAGUAACCUGCCCUUGACUUUGGGAUAACUUCAGGAAACUGGGGCUAAUACCGGAUAGGAGCUCCUGCUGCAUGGGGGGGGUUGGAAAGUUUCGGCGGUUGGGGAUGGACUCGCGGCUUAUCAGCUUGUUGGUGGGGUAGUGGCUUACCAAGGCUUUGACGGGUAGCCGGCCUGAGAGGGUGACCGGCCACAUUGGGACUGCGGUACGGCCCAGACUCCUACGGUAGGCAGCGGUGGGGAACAUUGCACAAUGGGCGGACGCCUGAUGUAGCAACGCCGCGUGCGGGAUGACGGCCUUCGGGUUGUAAACCGCUUUCGCCUGUGACGAAGCGUGAGUGACGGUAAUGGGUAAAGAAGCACCGGCUAACUACGUG
rnacentral:rRNA from 1 species